CAAGAGUACGUGAAACUGCUUAGAGGUUAAGCCCGAUGAACCUGAAUAUCCAUUAUGGAAAAUUCAUCAUUAUUACGCUAUAAUACCACAAAUAUUAUAGGUUAUAGUGUGCAUUUUUUCCAUAUAAGGACAUUGUAAUCUAUUAACAUUUAUAAUUUAUUAUAAGAUUAUAUGAUAUAAGUUUAUUUGAAUUAAUUUACUGUAUUGUAAAUUAACAUAAAAUAAAUGCAAAUAAUUUAAUAAAGUGUUGAUAGAUUUAUUGUAUAUUGUGCAAAAAUUCAUUUAUGAAUUUUACAAAAAUAAUUAUAUAUAUAUUUUUAUUAUAUUUGUAUGUACUUUUAUAUGAUUAACAAUGCGAAAGAUUCAGGAUACCUUCGGGACCCGUCUUGAAACACGGACCAAGGAGUCUAACAUAUGUGCAAGUCAUUGGGAUAAUAAAAACCCAAUGGCAUAAUUAACUUAACUUUAUAUAUUAAAUGGGAUUAAUUUUUAGUUCUUUAUAAGGACUUUGAAUUCAAUCCCGGGGCGUUCUAUACAGUUAUGUAUAAUAAUAUUUUAUAUUA
rnacentral:rRNA from 1 species